GAAAAAUGUAUCUUAUGUGUGUCAAGCAAGAUCAAGUUAUCUACAGAUGGUCCCUAAUAUGUUGACCUAUCCCAAACAUUCGAGGGGUUCCUUUUGUCAAAUGAGAGCUUGGCACUGAAUUCCUCCGAUCCAUCAGAGGAGCCACUGAACCUUUGACACUGUUGCUGGGCAUCUGACCAAAUCCUUCCACUAUGGUUUCCAACAUCAUAUCCAGGCGUUGUUGACAAUUUUCCAGAUUCCAUGAUAAGGUCGCCUUCAAGUAUUCGAAGUACUUGAGACAUGCGAGGCCUGGCCUGAGGAUCACGCCGUAUGCACAAAGAUGCAGCAUGCAACAUGCAGUAUAUUUCAUGUUCAGAGUAGCAGUUCUCUAGCCGGGGAUCUAUUAGCUCGUCAACAGCACAUUCUUGCAACAAUGGACGCGCCCAUUCUGUGAGACACUGCUGGCCCUUAGGCCUAGUAAGAUCCACUGCCUUGCGUCCGGUAACAAGCUCCACCAGUACCACUCCAAAUGAGUAAACAUCAGCUUUUUCUGUAAUCUGGCCACUUUGAGCAUACUCGGGCGCCAAAUACCCAAAUGUUCCAAUUACUCUAGUCUCAACGCCUGUGUCACCAUCAGGUUGCCACCUAGCCAAACCAAAGUCUCCAACUAGUGGUUCGAAGUCGUGGGUGAUGAGAAUGUUGUUGGGUCUCAUAUCUCUGUGGACAAUGCAGCCCACUCUGCAUUCUUCAUGAAGAUAACGCAAACCUCGUGCAGCACCCACAGCAAUUUUUUGACGAGCAGACCACUCCAAAGGAUCUCUUGUACGACCAUAUAGAUGAGAAUCUAAUGAUCCGUUGCAUAUAUAUUCA
rnacentral:misc_RNA from 1 species